rnacentral:misc_RNA from 1 species
AACCACCGUAGCCAGAACGAGAAGAAUAAGAGAACAACCAGCAACAGCACUACGAACACCUUCAAACGUUACGCCGUCGCCAACGACCCCUCCCGCCCUCUACCCCUUUUUCCUUCCGUCUCACUUGUGCCAUCUUCAUUGUGCGAUAAUGAGCAGCGAUCUUGCGGACUUCGACGGCGAUGAUGUCAGGACCACCGUCGUGGCGGCACAGCCGAUGGGCGUCGGAAUGGGCACCCACAGCGCCGUCGCUCUCGGUGGCUUCCAGGACUUCUGCCUGAAGAGCGAGCUCGCGAACGCCAUCCGCGAGAACGGCUUCGAGCACCCGUCGGAGGUGCAGCACCAGGCGCUGCCUAAGGCGAUGCUCGGCGCUGACAUUCUCGCCCAGGCGAAGUCGGGUAUGGGUAAGACGGCCGUCUUCGUCUUUGCGCUGCUGGAGCAGGUGGAGAAGGUGCCGCAGGGACAGAAGCCGUACUGCCAGGCCGUCGUGCUGGUGCACGCCCGCGAGCUGGCCUACCAGAUCGAGCAGGAGUUCAAGCGCUUCAGCAAGUACCUCCCGUACGCCACCACCGGCGUCUUCUUCGGCGGCAUUCCGGAGGACGAGAACGUGAAGCAGCUGAAGAAGGAGGUGCCGGCGAUCAUCGUCGGCACGCCGGGCCGCAUGAAGGCGCUCAUCCAGAACAAGGCCUUUGACACGACGCACGUGAAGUGGUUUGUGGUCGAUGAGUUCGACCGCUGCCUAGAAGACGUGAAGAUGCGCCGUGACGUGCAGGAGAUCUUCAUGAAGCUGCCCAAGGAGAAGCAGGUGAUGAUGUUCUCUGCCACGAUGACGGAUGAGCUGCGCGAUGUGGCGAAGAAGUUCAUGAAGGACGCGACGGAGAUUUACGUGGAUCAGCGGGCAAAGCUGACCCUGCAUGGCUUGGCGCAGUUCUACAUGAACGUCACGGAGCCGGAGAAGACGCGCCGGCUGGCGGAGAUCCUCGACGUUGUGGAGUUCAACCAGGCGAUCAUCUUCACAUCCUCGGUCGAGCGCUGCGAGGCGCUAAACCGCCAGCUGCAGCAGAUGAAGUUCCCGUCGCAGGCCGUGCACUCCCGCAUGAGCCAGGAGGAGCGCCUGCGCGUGUACGAGAGCUGCAAGGCGAACAACACCCGCAUCAUGGUCGCCACCGACCUCUUCGGCCGCGGCGUCGACUUUGACCGCAUCAACCUCGUUGUGCAGUACGACAUGGCCUCCGAGGCUGACAGCUACCUUCACCGAGUCGGCCGCGCCGGCCGCUUCGGCACGAAGGGAUUGACAAUCGCCUUCAUAACGACAGACGAGAAGGAGAUCAAGCGCGAGAACCGCACCUACACGGAUGGCGGCAUCAUGAAGGAAGUGCAGGAGCGCUUCGAGAUGAAGGUCGAGGAGCUGACGGACAUCAACACCCAGCUGAACGAGAACCAGUACAUGAACAAGUAAGCCGUGUGACAAGACGACAGCUACGCCUGUGGAUAUGGUGGUGCCCGAUAACGCAUGUGUACCUGCCCCGUGUGCCUGUGUGCCUGUAGCCGUCUCUCUCUCUUUGUAUGUGUGUGUGCUUAUACGUGGCUGUGGCGUUUGCGCAGGCACGCACGUCUCCUGGAUGAUCAUAGAGAGCCUUUCUGAAUCUUUCUUCCGUUCCUUCAGAGGGGGAGGAGGGGGGGCGAGGUUAGAGGAAAGCUCCUGGUGUGUAUGUGUGUGUGUGUGCAUGUUCUUGACUGUAUUCGUUUCGCUCGUAUCGCGUGCUUGGCGCUUCGCUUCUUCUUUCGGCUGUGGUGUCGCAUAGGUGGGGGGCGUGUACUCAUGCAACGGAUGGUUUGUUGCUGUGGAUGUUUGUCUAUCGAGUGCCGACGGGCUGCGAGCGGGGUGAUGGGGUAGUGGUGUUGGAGGAAGACGACGACCCCACAAGCGGGUGGGUGUGCCCUUCGCGUGUUUUCCUUUGCAAGCACACUGCACCCCCUACCCCUUCCCCCAUCGUCUUCCCUUCGCAUGUCGGAGAGAAGCGCGAGCUGGGGUGUUGACGCUCUUUGUAAGUACCUGUUUUGUGAUCUAAAAAGAAAAAGAAGAAACCUCAUCCACCCGGCCAUCCCUCCCUCAUCCCCAUCCCCAUCCCCCGAUCCUCGUCUGCCACACCCACCCACCUCCGAUCCUCAUCGUCCUCUCGUGACUUGGAGGUGGCGGCAGAGCGGAGAGACGAGGAGGCGUGGUGAUCAGGGCGGGGUCGGAUGGGGUAACGCAGAAAAGGUAAAUUAGGAAGAGAGAAGGUUGUGAAGAUAUACGCAGCCAUGCGUGUGCGUGUGUAUAUGGCUCUGUAUAUGCGUGCCUUGUAGGUGUUUCGAUUCGAGGCAGGCACAUAAAGGCGAGCGGGAGAAAGAAAGAGGAGCGAGACGCCAUUGAGCAAGGUUGUGCUUCGGCCACACACACGCACACGGGCAUGCAGACACAGACAGGCAGCGGACUUCUGUGGGUCGCGCGGACGGCGGGACGCGUAGAGGGGGGGGCGGAGAGCGGUAAGAAUAGACCAGCAAAAGCGAAAAGGACGCGAGAGGUGUAUCCACACACCCACACAGCCGAUGCUUCAUGCACGCGGACUUGCCCGCACUCCGAUGUGGUCGCGAUGGAGGUGUUCGCUGGGCAGUGUAGUGUGUGCUGCUGAUAAAGGAGAGGUGUGGAGUGGGAAGAGAGGCGAACGGUGGCGCUUGAUUCUUUGUCUUCUGGUCAAGCCUCGGCAUCGUCUGCGCCACCACCAUAUACACGAUGGAGGCGGAUGACUUUCACUGCCCACUUGUCGCGAAAGACAACGAAGGGACAAAGGAAGGGGAGAGUGCGCAGAAGAUGGCGAUACGAUUCGCAGAGUCGGGCAGCGGGCGACGGGCGAUCCAGUGUAGCGGGUCGCUCACCCCCUCCCUCCUCCCCUCUCCCUGCGCCUGCCACAUCCAUCGUACCUUUUGCCUUUGCCUUUUCCCUCGCCGCCCCUUCCCUCACUCCCUCUCCCCCAGUUCUCUGACCUCGCCAACCGCACGUGUUCGAUUUCAUUUUUUUUGGUGUGUGUUUGUGUGCUCCCUCUUCCUCCCUCCCUCUUCCCUUCACGCUCUCGCUCGCUCGCUUGCGCCUAACCUACUCGCGCUGUCGGAGCGUGAUUGGGUGACGCCGGCGGUCGCCUCCGCGUUCGUCUCUUUAGCCGCGUCGGCUUCGACUUUCUAUUUUCUUCUCCCAUAUACGUUUCUGCCUAACAUACGCCCAUCAUCGCGAAAAG